UAAAACGCAUAUGUUGGAGUGAGGUUUUCACACCUUCAUAAGAAAUGUUUCGUUCCCCUCUCCAACCGAUGUGGGAACUCACAGUCCAUUUUUUGUACGCUAAUAAAUGUAUACUCAUAGCUACCCCUAACAGGUGGCUCUAGCAGUGGGGAAUUGGGAUGCUUGGUGUAUCUAAGGUCCUAGGCUCAAGCACGUACAGAAGAUUGCUAUCUCUUAGAGCUGGUAUUGGUAGGGUUCAAGCCUCUCAGGGAUUGGUUCGGUUGACGAUGGAGGACCAGAGAGGAGUACUUUACUUGUGUGCCCCAGAAAUAUCAAUUUGUAGCUAAAGAAUCGUAGUGUUAAAGCUAAAGAAACUACACAUUCAUAUGGUUCUUAUCCAACACCUUCCAAGUAUAUGAGGGAUGCCUCUAUUAUGUCAAUGGAAUUGAUCAGGAUGAAAGCUUCUUAGCAGAGCGGCCAGCAUAUACCACAAAGGCAACUCAAGUUCCAGAAGGCCAUGUUUACGUGUCGAGCAACAACCGCAACAACAGCUACGACUCUCAUAUUUGGUUAGUCUUAUUAACUUCAUGUUAUAUUAUGUAUGUUUGCUGGUUGUUGGUUGGUUCUGAUAUAUAGUUUGCUGUUAAUUCUUCAAGGAAAAAGGCUAUUUCAUUUAAGUUUAAACAGAAAAAUUUCUCUCCCAACUUCAUUGCCAUUUUUCUUCUACUUUUUGUCAUCAAGAACACAUCAUUGGGAGCUACCUCUGUUCUUGCCCCCCAAAAAUAAAAUGGUUAUUAAAUAGGACUAUGGAGCUUUUUUUUUUUUAUCAAUAUAAAACUAAUUUUUUAUAAAAUAGAAAUGUUUUUAAACAGGGAAUAAAAUAGUAAGUGAUUAUUACUACCUUUUAAAAUAUGUUAUUACUGAGGAAUAGGUUAAAAAAGAUAUUUUGCAAAAAUUGAAAUAAUAAGAAUAUCACAUCCAUUUAAGGCGCUAUAGAGCUUGUUUCUGCCCAAAUCUGAAAAAGCCCAAUUUGAAAGCCCAAUUUGAAAAGCCCAUUAGGCAUUACCAUUUGCACGAAGGCAUUGGGCUAAAUGGAUUAGUUGAUCCCAGCCAUUUUGACCUUUCUUUUUUUAAUCUUUAAAUAUUCUUCAUUUUUAACUUCUUUCCCUUUUAAUUCAAAUGUCUCUCAAUCCCUUAUGUAUUAUCUGAUCCGAUUGUAAGAAAUUAUGUUAACGGUAAAUCUUUUUAACAUUAAUGAAUGAAUCUUUGUGUUCUAUGAGUUAAAA